UUUAAUUAAAAAAUUGUUUUUUGAGGGGUAACAAGAUGGCGACCGAGACAGUGGAGUUCCAUAAGCUGAAGCUUGCUGAGCUAAAGCAAGAAUGUCUUGCUUGUGGUUUGGAGACCAAGGGAAUAAAGCAAGAUCUUAUCCACAGACUCCAGGCAUAUCUUGAAGAACACGCUGAAGAGGAGGCAAAUGCAGAAGAUGUUCUGGGAGAUGAAACAGAGGAAGAAGAAACAAAGCCCAUUGAGCUCCCUGUCAAAGAGAAAGAACCCCCUGAAAAAACUGUUGAUGUGGCAGUAGAGAAGAAAGUGGUGAAAAUUACAUCUGAAAUACCACAGACUGAGAGAAUGCAGAAGAGGGCUGAACAAAUUCUUACUCGGCAGUAAGAAAGCUGCUCGGGCAGCUAGGUUUGGGAUUUCUUCAGUUCCAACAAAAGGUCUGUCAUCUGAUAACAAACCUAUGGUUAACUUGGAUAAGCUGAAGGAAACAGCUCAAAGAUUUGGUUUGAAUGUCUCUUCAAUCUCCAGAAAGUCUGAAGAUGAUGAGAAACUGAAAAAGAGGAAGGAGCGAUUUGGGAUUGUCACAAGUUCAGCUGGAACUGGAACCACAGAGGUUACAGAGGCAAAGAAGAGGAAAAGAGCAGAGUGCUUUGGGAUUGCCUGAUGAAAAGUUCUUGAUACUUUGUGUUCUCCAGUGUUUUCCAUUUCUCUCAUUCUUCUUGGUCACACAUAUGCCUAAAUGCACAGUCAUGUGCCUACGUCCUGCCUCACAAUGAGGGAGCAUGUACCCCAGGUUCAAGUGCUGGAUUGUGUCAUGUGACCAUCCCAAAACUCAGAGCACCCUAUGGCCACCUUUGCCCUCUGUCACAUAACUUGAAAGCUGCCUGAUGGCCCUUUUGCAGUGGUUCCCUCCAGCAAGCCUUGAUCUCAGUUGAAGAAGCUCUUUCCCGGCAUUCCAGUGCCCCUGUCAGCUCCAUACUCCUCAGACACCCUUAACAAAGGCUGUCAUGCACACAAUGUAACAAAUACA